rnacentral:rRNA from 1 species
AUUGAACGCUGGCGGCAUGCCUUACACAUGCAAGUCGAACGGCAGCACGGGAGCAAUCCUGGUGGCGAGUGGCGAACGGGUGAGUAAUAUAUCGGAACGUGCCCAGUAAUGGGGGAUAGCCCGGCGAAAGCCGGAUUAAUACCGCAUACGACCUACGGGUGAAAGCGGGGGAUCGCAAGACCUCGCGUUAUUGGAGCGGCCGAUAUCAGAUUAGCUUGUUGGCGGGGUAAAAGCCCACCAAGGCGACGAUCUGUAGCUGGUCUGAGAGGACGACCAGCCACACUGGGACUGAGACACGGCCCAGACUCCUACGGGGAGGCAGCAGUGGGGAAUUUUGGACAAUGGGCGCAAGCCUGAUCCAGCCAUGCCGCGUGUGGGAAGAAGGCCUUCGGGUUGUAACCACUUUGUC